UGACAUGGUUAUGCAACAAUAUUUCAGC
rnacentral:sRNA from 1 species